ACAGUUGGAAACGACUGCUAAUACCGGAUGUGCCGAGAGGUGAAAGAUUUAUCGCCUGGAGAUGAGCUCGCGUCUGAUUAGCUAGUUGGCGGUGUAAGGGACCACCAAGGCAUCGAUCAGUAGCUGGUCUGAGAGGAUGAUCAGCCACACUGGGACUGAGACACGGCCCAGACUCCUACGGGAGGCAGCAGUGGGGAAUUUUCCGCAAUGGGCGAAAGCCUGACGGAGCAAUACCGCGUGAGGGAGGAAGGCUCUUGGGUCGUAAACCUCUUUUCUCAAGGAAGAAGAAAGUGACGGUACUUGAGGAAUAAGCAUCGGCUAACUCCGUGCCAGCAGCCGCGGUAAUACGGAGGAUGCAAGCGUUAUCCGGAAUGAUUGGGCGUAAAGGGUCUGCAGGUGGAACUGAAAGUCUGCUGUUAAAGAGUUUGGCUUAACCAAAUAAAAGCGGUGGAAACUACAGAACUAGAGUGCGGUAGGGGCAAAAGGAAUUCCUGGUGUAGCGGUGAAAUGCGUAGAUAUCAGGAAGAACACCGGUGGCGAAAGCGUUUUGCUAGACCGUAACUGACACUGAGGGACGAAAGCUAGGGGAGCGAAUGGGAUUAGAUACCCCAGUAGUCCUAGCCGUAAACGAUGGAUACUAGGCGUGGCUUGUAUCGACCCGAGCCGUGCCGGAGCUAACGCGUUAAGUAUCCCGCCUGGGGAGUACGCACGCAAGUGUGAAACUCAAAGGAAUUGACGGGGGCCCGCACAAGCGGUGGAGUAUGUGGUUUAAUUCGAUGCAACGCGAAGAACCUUACCAAGACUUGACAUCCUGCGAAUCCUGGUGAAAGCUGGGAGUGCCUUAGGGAGCGCAGAGACAGGUGGUGCAUGGCUGUCGUCAGCUCGUGUCGUGAGAUGUUGGGUUAAGUCCCGCAACGAGCGCAACCCUCGUUUUUAGUUGCCAGCAUUAAGUUGGGCACUCUAGAGAGACUGCCGGUGACAAACCGGAGGAAGGUGAGGAUGACGUCAAGUCAGCAUGCCCCUUACGUCUUGGGCUACACACGUACUACAAUGCUACGGACAGAGGGCAGCGAGCCAGGGAUGGCAAGCGAAUCCAGAAACCGUAGCUCAGUUCAGAUCGAAGGCUGCAACUCGCCUUCGUGAAGGAGGAAUCGCUAGUAAUUGCAGGUCAGCAUACUGCAGUGAAUUCGUUCCCGGGCCUUGUACACACCGCCCGUCACACCAUGGAAGUUGGUCACGCCCGAAGUCAUUACCCCAACC
rnacentral:rRNA from 1 species